GGGAAAGUGGCUGAGUGGUUAAAGGCGACAGACUGUAAAGUGCGUUCUAAGAAGAUUUUUAUAAUAAAAUAAUUGUUUAUUACAA
rnacentral:tRNA from 1 species